rnacentral:rRNA from 1 species
AGAGUUUGAUCCUGGCUCAGGACGAACGCUGGCGGCGUGCUUAACACAUGCAAGUCGAACGAUGAAGCUGGAGCUUGCUCCGGUGGAUUAGUGGCGAACGGGUGAGUAACACGUGAGCAAUCUGCCCCGAACUCUGGGAUAAGCGUUGGAAACGACGUCUAAUACCGGAUACGACGCGCGAAGGCAUCUUCUGCGCGUGGAAAGAAUUUCGGUUCGGGAUGAGCUCGCGGCCUAUCAGCUAGUUGGUGAGGUAACGGCCCACCAAGGCGACGACGGGUAGCCGGCCUGAGAGGGUGACCGGCCACACUGGGACUGAGACACGGCACAGACUCCUACGGGAGGCAGCAGUGGGGAAUAUUGCACAAUGGGCGCAAGCCUGAUGCAGCAACGCCGCGUGAGGGACGACGGCCUUCGGGUUGUAAACCUCUUUUAGUAGGGAAGAAGCGAAAGUGACGGUACCUGCAGAAAAAGCACCGGCUAACUACGUGCCAGCCGCCGCGGUAAUUC